AAAAUGAUAGUGCACCAUCGAUUAUAUUUUUAAAAGAUUUUUCCGAUAAAGAUUAUAUUUAUUAUUUUCUUUUUACUAUCGCGAAGCAUGCAAGGAAUCCUGUAGUACUCGACUUCAUAUUAGAAGAACUUGAGAACAUAAGACCUAGACAAAUCAGCGAGUAUGCAACAUUAACUGUAAUUAUUAAUCAUGUGUAUUCCACAAAUCAACUCAAAAAGAUAAACAACUUCUUCACAAAUAAAUUUUUUAAUGAAACGCAAG